AGAAGUUUGUGUUUUUAUUCCCAAAAGGAGCACACCCUUUUUUUUUUUUUCCCACCUUUUAGUUGGGCAUUUUAGGGAGAUUCCCGGGUAUAAUCGGGGGGAAGGUGGGGAGGAGUUUAAUUUUUUUUGGCCUUUUUUCCCGGGGUUUACACAUUUUUUAAAUGGGGGGUCAAAGGGGUGGGAAACGGGGAAGGGGGGGGUAUUUCUA
rnacentral:rRNA from 1 species